GAAUGAUCGCAAGCGCACUUCACCUCACACAAACGCAGCACGGGGUUGAUAAAGGCUCAUACAGGCUGGACUACUACAUUUACAGAGGGGGGAUCAGUGACGACAAAUGCGGGAAAAAGGGUGUGGCCAAAGGUUUCAUUGGUGCUUUCCCAUCAUUGCAAGUUUUCAGAUGCUGGCCAGUCACUUCUUCCAAGACCCCAAACACUGCCAUGUGACCAGACUGCUCCACUGAAACUGCAUAGUGUGUGUCUACUUUCAACACUAAGACUUAAGGUCACCGUAGCCACCAGAUACAGUCUGUAUCCAGAUCAGAUGGUGGAUCACCACCUAGACAAGCUCUUGACAGCCCUGAAUGUCAGCCGAGACCAGGACAACUAGAUGAGCCCCAGAGACAAAUCCUCAUCACCAAGACAGCCAUCGGGACAAGACCACAGGAACCAGACCAGUCCUCUGCACAAUCUGACCUGUGUCGCAGCCUGCAAUUGAACUGCUGGAUUCGUCUGGCCAGAGAAGAACGAUGGAGUUUUGGUUCCUUCGACACACAAUUUUUCUGUUUAAUACUGUAAAGCUGCUUUGACACAAUCUGUAGUGUAAAAAGCACUAUGUAGAUACAGUGACUGGACAUUACUUGACUCAGUUCAGUUGAACUGUAACACCUGGUUCAUUUAUUGUUUUCUGACUUCUGCCUCAUUUUAAAUAUGUAAUUGUGAACAGUAGUAAUAUUUUUUUAAAUGUUUGUUAGCAAACAUUUUGUUUAACUUUAUUAGUCUUUUUUUUUAAGUUCAUUAAACAAAUGUUUAACAUAAAACUUUUCAGUUGUAUUACAAAUGUA